CCCAAUCCCCACCCCACCGGUCUCCCCAAUGGCCCAAUCCCUCCGUCCCCCAUCUUCCUAAAGCCUUCCGACGCUUAGGGUUUGCCCAUGGCGCUUGCUUGGAGGCGCGGGCUGGUCCCCGAGGGAGAUGCACCAGCGAAGAAGGCGUUGAGGCUAUGGUGGGUGGCUAGCGGCGAGGGCGGGGGUGGCCAGCGAGCUGCGAGGCGGCGGUGUCUACCGGUGCUCCUCCGCUCCUCACUUUUUCACCGGCAGCAACGAGCGCCCGACCUCUUUGUUCGUGGACUUCUUUAUGGUCGUCGUCUGGGAUUGUCAGGCAGAGCCGCAGGAGGAGAGCAUGCGAUGUAGGAGGAUGAGGAGGAGCAGGCGAUGUAGGAGGAUGAGGAGGAGCAGGCGGUGUAGGAGGAUGAGGAGGAGCAGGCGGAUGCCAAGGUGGAGAAACAGCGGAGACCACCUAAUAUGUUGUCAAUAAGCACGAGCUCGAUCCCCUCUUCUGCCAUCACCACGUCUAGGAGGCUGCUAGCUCCCUUGCCCUGCUGGUGAGAACCGGGAGGAGGAGGAGGAGCAGCAGAAGAGAUGGAGGGGUCCUGAAGAAGAGACACUUGAUGGAAGAGGAAGAAAUGCCCCGACAGUGCCCUGCAUCUCCCGUCAUCCUCCAUCCCCGCCUUCUCUUCGCCCCUGCACAUCGGCUCCAACCAUCUUUUUCUGGGCAGCAGGAGGGCUUCGACGGCGCCGGUUCGAGCUCUCUCUCCGGGGCCGAACGGCGAGUUGGGUCUUCCUGUGGUGAUAUUUUUGUUUCCUGUAGUGUAAAAUAUUUUGAUUAUGGUUGUUCUUUUCUCAGAAAGUUGAUGAGCAACUAGUCACCUGUCUAGAGAUCUGUUGCUUCAUCGUUGUUUUGUCCAGAAAAGAUUGCGGAUCAGGGCAUCACAAAGUAUUCCACAAAAGUUCUACCUUUCAACUAUGAACAUAGCGUAUAUGGAUUUCGAGAAUAUUUCAAGAAGUAUGGAUUCAAGUCUCUGAAACAAUGUUUUCGUAUAUCAUGGAGAAGCCCUGCAGAGCUAACCAGACUAACUUGCGUGAGUCCGGCUUGUUGAACGUCCCUUCAGUGUCAUGGUUCUACCAUGGUCAAGCAUAUCCACGAACAAAUAUGAAAUACUAUGUUAUUAUAUAUUACCAUUCCCUGACAAAUGGUUGAAAACAUGGCGAAGCUCUUUGCUAGGUUUCCACUAUGCUCGAGAGUGAGUAGAAGAAUUUAUGGAUGUUUCACAUGCUGUAUUUCAUGGAAUGUCUGAACUGCACAUUACAGAACCAUUUGGAUCUGGAUUCAAAUGGCCUGGAUCAGUACUGUGAUUUAAUUCGGUGGUACUGUCUUUGCUGGCUAGGGUCUGGUAAUGGAGAUCAUCUCCAGCUGAAGCCUGGUUGACUACGCUAGGUUGUAUGCAUCCUUUUCUGAAUAAUUACCGCAUUUGAUGUGCAUCCAUGUAAAACCAAUUGGUUCUCAAUUUGACUUUUGAAUAAUUAGUAUUGAUCUGCAUCCAUGGAUUUAAUUUUGACCUUUUUGUACAAUAAUAGAUUUUUGAUCAGCUGCGAAAUCUGUGGUGAAUAUAUGCCUGAAUGUAACAAUCCAUUGGUGUAUCUGCAAACUGCUUGAAGCUCCAACACCUUCGAACAGCUGCUGGUCUGGGAGUGAGAACCGGAAGCAUUAUGCAGACUGCAUGGAGAUACUCACCCUCAUGUCAUUGCCCAUGUCAAAAAGCCAGCAUGUUCCUCAGGGAUGGCAUGUCCCCUAUCGACAUCAUUGGAUUAUAAAAAAAUGCACCCAUGAAAGAAAAGUACAGUGGCGCCUCGCGGGAUAAGAGGUGGGAGCAACAAGCCUUGCAUUUUGCAGUGAAGUUGCAACUGUAUAAAAAACUGAUGUUGACACUACCGUGUAGGAAUUCAUGCCUAUCUUAGGGUCUUUGUUUACAUUUCCAAGUGAACCUGCUGCUAUUGCUUUAGGUUAGAAUAUCUUAAUAUAUUAUGUCUUUCAUUUAUCCACGAUUUAUAUAACAAGGCUUAACCGUCGUCGAGAGGACCUGCUGGUGGCCGGUAGGAGCGUCGAGCAAGGGCUGGCCGCAUGCCUCAGCCUCCUCAACCAGCACGAGCAAGCGGAGUGGCCUAACCGUCGCCGAGAGGAGCUUCUGGUGUCCAGUAGGAGCUGCAUAGCCCACCUCUCGCACCGCCGCAUGUCGUCGUGCCGUCGCCGGGUGGAGCCGCUGGUGGAGCUCCGCCCUUGGACUUCG